rnacentral:rRNA from 1 species
CCUACGGGUGGCUGCAGUGGGGAAUAUUGGACAAUGGGGGCAACCCUGAUCCAGCCAUGCCGCGUGUGUGAAGAAGGCCCUCGGGUUGUAAAGCACUUUCAGUGAGGAAGAACGCCUGGUGGUUAAUACCCAUCAGGAAAGACAUCACUCACAGAAGAAGCACCGGCUAACUCCGUGCCAGCAGCCGCGGUAAUACGGAGGGUGCGAGCGUUAAUCGGAAUUACUGGGCGUAAAGCGCGCGUAGGUGGCUUGAUAAGCCGGUUGUGAAAGCCCCGGGCUCAACCUGGGAACGGCAUCCGGGAGUGUGAAGCUAUAGGGGAGGAGAGGAGGGUAGUGAGCGGGGAGAAGAGGGGAAGUGCGGAGAGACCGGGAGGAGUAGCAGUGGGAGAGGCGGCAGUAUGGAGUGGCAGUGACACUUGGGUGCGUGGGUGUGGGUCGCACCCAGGGGGAGAUAGCCCUGUGGUA